GACGAACGCUGGCGGCGUGCUUAACACAUGCAAGUCGAACGGAAAGGCCCUGCUUUUGUGGGGUGCUCGAGUGGCGAACGGGUGAGUAACACGUGAGUAACCUGCCCUUGACUUUGGGAUAACUUCAGGAAACUGGGGCUAAUACCGGAUAGGAGCUCCUGCUGCGUGGGGGGGGUUGGAAAGUUUCGGCGGUUGGGGAUGGACUCGCGGCUUAUCAGCUUGUUGGUGGGGUAGUGGCUUACCAAGGCUUUGACGGGUAGCCGGCCUGAGAGGGUGACCGGCCACAUGGGGACUGAGAUACGGCCCAGACUCCUACGGGAGGCAGCAGUGGGGAAUAUUGCACAAUGGGCGCACGCCUGAUGCAGCAACGCCGCGUGCGUGAUGACGGCCUUCGGGUUGUAAACCGCUUUCGCCUGUGACGAAGCGUGAGUGACGGUAAUGGGUAAAGAAGCACCGGCUAACUACGUG
rnacentral:rRNA from 1 species